CGGGCGGCGGCGGGCGAGCGGGCGGCGGCGGCGGCGGCGGCGGCGGCUCUCUUCACUGUCGAGAGAGACAGAGAGAGAUACCUGAGCCAGCAGGUCAACUCAGGUUACCUCAACAGCCUGGAAAUAAAGAAACCGCAAGCAGCCAUCCUUGCUGGGGCGUCUCUGUCCCUCGCCCCGAGGCCUGCACCGCCCUACUAGGUACCACGGAUUUAUGUUCGUUUGUCCGGGUCAUUCUGCCUUUUCGUGAUAAUUACGCGCUGCCUGCUUCGUGCUUAUCUCCUCCGCAAAGCGAUUAUUUUCGGCGCCCGCCCUCCUGAGAUUCCCAAGUCUGCUGCCAGAGCGAGGGCCCAUCUCCCGCCGCCACUCGCGAUUUAUUUACACCUCACAGGUGAGAGGAUUGAUUUGCUCAGAGCCAGAGGGGCCGGGCUGGGCCGGGGCGCCGGGCCUUCUCGUUGCUGCUCCUCGGGGCCGGGCCUCAAACGUCAGUGCGGCCAGGCCGGCCGGGGGCACCGCCGCCGCCUCUAACAUUGAGCAACAGCGCCACCUCGCGUCCACUUGCUCCAAUGCAGUCCGGCCGGGAAAAAGCCAACAGCUAGAGCAAGCAGAGACACUGUGCAAUGGAACUGCCGCGAUUUCACCCGCGUUCAGGCUCAUUUCUGGCCUCGGAACACCUCCGCGCACGCAGAUGUAUGCCCCGAAGCUCCCGCGACCGCCUGCCCGCGGCGCGCACCCUAAACUCCUCGCUCCUCUUACCCUGCCGCUGGCUCCGCACCGCCUAUUCCGCUGCCGCCUGCAGGACUUUGGGGUGGGAUUCUGACUUCUCCCGGCUCUUUGCCCCCUGGUUUGUAGCCCAUCCCUCUCUCUCACGCGCGCGCUCUCUCCACCUCUCCCUCCCAGCCAGUGAGGUCCUGUUCUCCGUGGACCAUAGACAAAACAUUCCUAUAAUCCGAUUUCAAAGGAAAGAGUGUCCACCUUAUUUAAACCAUAAAACAAGCCCAGACGUCUAGCCAGCUCCACGCUGCUGUUUUGUUCGGCCCCAUUCAGAAUCCAGCGCAGGGAGACAAACAGCGCCAUAAAAGAGGCAUUUCGGGGCCGCGGAAAUGUACCUAUCCUCUGCCUUCCCAAGUGGAACAACCUUUAGGGUUUUGUGAUUCUGACAAAGGAGCAGAGGAGAGGUGGGAGGAGAAGAUUAGGGCAGGGGGGGCGUUUGCAAGCCCCUCUUUCCUCCCCAGCUUUCGUUUCUUUCCCCAGAUGUGUGUUGUGUUGUUGUGGUUUGAGCUCACAAAUGACAAUAAAUAAAAAUAGAAUCCAAUCCUGACCUGCAGGCUGGAGGCUGAGCUGGUACUGAACAGUGGGCUGGACCGGGUGGGCCUGCUCUGGAUCCCACGCUCUGGUCAGGGCCCUCCUUCCUGCCCGGAGCAAGGCCGGCUCAGGCGGGCCGCAGGAAGCAGGCCGCGCUGACGGACGGACGAGGGGAGGCGACAGGGCCUUGGAGCAGGGGCGGGGUGGAGGCCCGGAAACGCCGCCGAGCUCGGGCCGGAGAGAAGCCUGAGUCCCGGCGGUCAGGAUCGAGGGAGACGGGUGCCUUGUCCUCCGCCCGGUGCGGAACUGAGGCCAGGGUCCCGGAACACCAAAAUGGCCCAGGGGAGGAGCGAGGAAGCGAGAAAAGAGAGAAAACUACAGGCAAAGCACCUUUCAAAAGGACUGAGAAAACAAUCGCUUCUGGAAUUUGGGGAGGUCUCUUCUUAAGCGGGGAA